CCGGCCACUCCCCAAAAGCAGAGCAUUCCAUCCUUUCUCUUUUUAAACCCACGUCAUCAUCUGAUCAUAAUGGAAAUCAAUCUCCUCAAACCACCAUGCAAAGGCGUAUCCAUGGCAACCUCAAAAGGAAGGACACAGAGAUGAUGCUUCAGUGGCUGCAGCAGGAAAAGCUCUUCGCCUCUCAGUACCUUAAGUAUACCUGAGUAGCCAGUGGUCAACAUGGGUUUGCUGCUCUCCUCACUGCAAUAAAUGAGGGAAACCUGUAGCUCAGUAUGGAUUCAGGGGCGCCUCAGACGCUCGCAGGAACGGAGGGGAGACCCUUGCAGUUCUGGAGGAACUCUAAGGCGCAGUCACUCUGAUCCCAAGAGAACACCGCC